rnacentral:rRNA from 1 species
GACGAACGCUGGCGGCGUGCUUAACACAUGCAAGUCGAACGGAAAGGCCCUGCUUUUGUGGGGUGCUCGAGUGGCGAACGGGUGAGUAACACGUGAGUAACCUGCCCUUGACUUUGGGAUAACUUCAGGAAACUGGGGCUAAUACCGGAUAGGAGCUCCUGCUGCAUGGUGGGGGUGGGAAAGUUUCGGCGGUUGGGGAUGGACUCGCGGCUUAUCAGCUUGUUGGUGGGGUAGUGGCUUACCAAGGCUUUGACGGGUAGCCGGCCUGAGAGGGUGACCGGCCACAUUGGGACUGAGAUACGGCCCAGACUCCUACGGGAGGCAGCAGUGGGGAAUAUUGCACAAUGGGCGGAAGCCUGAUGCAGCAACGCCGCGUGCGGGAUGACGGCCUUCGGGUUGUAAACCGCUUUCGCCUGUGACGAAGCGUGAGUGACGGUAAUGGGUAAAGAAGCAACGGCUAACUACGUG